rnacentral:misc_RNA from 1 species
AUGAUUUCAAAUUCUGAACCCAAAUUACAUAGUAACUAAUAUUACAGAGGAAGCACAUAGUUGUUUUCCUUUUCAUUGACAAAAAGUUACAUGAUAUUACGAUAGUGAACUUUGCAGUAGUGUCCUUCACUUUUGGGCUUUUUCUGCAUGCAGGGAUGUAAGGAACUGCUUGAGACACUUGUUAUAAACGCAAGGUCGUUCUAGGUGAACCAGAUGCCCUGCCUUGUCUAUGCCAUGAAAUGUAGUCUUCUCACCCAGUUGAUGUUUCAUGUUCUGAGCAAGCUCCAAAUUGAAAAUUUGAUCAUUCUCACCCCAGAGGAGAUGUAUUCUCUGUGGAAAAUUUGGAAUACUUGUGUCUUUGUUGCUCACCACCAACCCUUCUAGCAGCUCUCCUCUUUCCUUUCUGUUGGUGAACAUUACCUCGAGAAAAUCUCUAUGAAGACGAUCAGGGAACCAAAGCUUCUUGUAAGCAGCCACUUUUAGCAGGGCCUUAAGACCCUUAACAGAGGUAGGCAGCAGCAGCUCCGAAGAAGAUGAAAAUCCCAAACCAUUGAGCGUGGUAGUGCUAAUGGAAUCAGUCAUCGCUAAUAUCGAUCCAGACACCACCAACGCCUCAACUAAAUCUGGAAACAUUUCCGCCAUCUUAAACGCCACCAUUCCUCCAUAACUAAAUCCAACCACUACGCAUUUUUCCACGCCUAAUUUCCUCAGCCCUUUACCCAAACACUCUGCUUGAAA